CCUGUACCCACUUCAACGACCUGUUCCCCAAGAUACCUCAGGCCCUCUAGCUACCCGUUCACCAGAUACAAACAAGGGAUAUGAUAAAUUCAUUCACAUUUCGGUGGUUUCAAUUUCAAGAAAUUUGCUUCUCCCCAGACGGCGUGCAUUUGCACAAAAACAUUGAAGCAAGAAAGUAAUGUUGUGUAACUCAAAAAAGUAAGUCACAGGCUGGGCGCGGUGGCUCACGCCUGUAAUCCCAGCACUUUGGGAGGCCGAGGCGGGUGGAUCACGAGGUCAAGAGAUCGAGACCAUCCUGGCCAACAUGGUGAAACCCCGUCUCUACUAAAAAUACAAAAAGUAGCUGGGCGUGGUGCCGCGUGCCUGUAGUCCCAGCUACUCAGGAGGCUGAGGCAGGAUAAUCGCUUGAAUCCGGGAGGUGGAGGUUGCAGUGAGCCGAGAUCGCGCCACUGCACUCCAGCCUGGCGACAGAGCAAGACUGCGUCUCAAAAAAAAAAAAAAAAAAAAGGCUGGAGUGCAACGGCACAAUCUCGGCUCACCGCAACCUCCGCCUCCCGGGUUCAAGCGAUUCUGCUGCCUCAGCCUCCUGAGUAGCUGGGAUUACAGGCAUGUGCCACCACGCCCGGCUAAUUUUGUAUUUUUAGUACAGAUAGGGUUUCUCCAUAUUGGUCAGGCUGGUCUCGAACUCCCAACCUCAGGUGAUCCGCAUGCCUCAGCCUCCCAAAGUUCUGGGAUUACAGGCAUGAGCCACCGCACCCGGCCAUUUGUAUGUAAUUUUCUAUAUUUAUUGAAAUGCAUUUUAAGUAAUAUGAAAGCAUUUUUCUCCUUACAAUGGAAAAACCAACUUGAUUUUACAUUUAUUUAUAUAACCUGACUUAAUUCUAUGUAAGUCAAGUGAAAAAGGAAACAACUGCUCUGUGGAAUCAACCUGAAGAUGUCUAAUUUUUCCUCUGAUGCCACCAGACUUAAAGCAGUUCACGAUCCUCUCUACAAAGAAGUAUAUUUAGGUUCUCCCUCUCCCUCUCCCUCUCCCUCUCCCCACGGUCUCCCUCUGAUGCCGAGCCGAAGCUGGACUGUACUGCUGCCAUCUCGGCUCACUGCAGCCUCCCUGCCUGAUUCUCCUGCCUCAGCCUGCCCAGUGCCUGCGAUUGCAGGUGCGCGCCGCCACGCCUGACUGGUUUUCGUAUUUUUUUGGUGGAGACGGGGUUUCGCUGUGUUGGCCAGGCUGGUCUCCAGCUCCUAACCGCGAGUGAUCCGCCAGCCUUGGCCUCCCGAGGUGCCAGGAUGGCAGACGGAGUCGCGUUCACUCAGUGCUCAAUGGUGCCCAGGCUGGAGUGCAGUGGCAUGAUCUCGGCUCGCUACAACCUCCACCUCCCAGCUGCCUGCCUUGGCCCCCCAAAGUGCCGAGAUUGCAGCCUCUGCCUGGCCACCACCCCGUCUGGGAAGUGAGGAGCGUCUCUGCCUGGCCGCCCAUCGUCUGGGAUGUGAGGAGCCUCUCUGACUGGCUGCCCAGUCUGGAAAGUGAGGAGCGUCUCUGCCCGGCCGCCAUCCCAUCUAGGAAGUGAGGAGCGUCUCUGCCAGGCCGCCCAUCGUCUGAGAUGUGGGGAGCGCCUCUGCCCUGCCGCCCCGUCUGGGAUGUGAGGAGCGUCUCUGCCCGGCUGACCCGUCUGAGAAGUGAGGAGACCCUCUGCCUGGCAACCGCCCCGUCUGAGAAGGCUGCGCAAUGCCUGCCGUGGAAUCAGUGAUCAAUACAUCCUUGCUGAAAGAAUGAAUAGAUGAAGGCCUGGGAAUAACUGAGACGUGUCCACGCUAUGGAAAAACUACCCUAAUGUUGUCUCCAACCAGUCUGCUUUCUAUUUCACCUUCGUAAACAGUGCCCAUCAUCAGAAGAGGAGAAAAUGGUAAAAACCAUCCUGCAUAGAUGAUUUUAUGUGCAUAAGAUUAUCAGAAUAGGAGAGCCCAAAGACUAGAAUUCCAUUUCUAAACCCAGCCCAGCAGCCGGAAGUCAUGAAGCAGUCAACCUGCCUGGACAUCCAGCUACGCUCUGCUGCGCCAUUCUAUCCACCCAUCAAGACUCCCCUCCCUUCUACUGCCUAAGAGGAAAGAAAGUAAAGAGAAGAAGAAUGGACUGCACAAUGAAGCUAUCAGAUCAGCCCACGUUGGGAUGGGGUCAAUAGAUGCAAAAUGAACACCAUUCUUCAAAGUAAUCAUCUAACAGCAUGGAUAACCCUCCUAAAAGCCAACUGGGAUUGAAUUACUCCUCUGCCAAGAACCCUCUGCUGCACCUUAUCCAAGGCCCACCAUAAAAUGAUGCCAGCCCACCUCACCCAAAACCUCUUCCAGAAAGUCCCAGCUCCACCCUGGUUCUCUCCUCCACAGAUGUCAGACCUGUAUGUGGUCUGAUGGCUCUCUCAGCCUCCUUCAUUCUCUCCCCAUUUCUGCCACAUUUUCCCCAAUAAAUCUUGUGUGUGUCUAAUUCCAUUUUGGUGUCUGCAUCUCAGAUGAUCUGAACUAACACAAAUGGAGAGUGAAAAACAAAAAAAAAAGUCUGGCCACAUUUAUAAAUUCAUCCCAGGCUGCAAAGAGUUAGACAGCACUUCCCCAAAGAAAACUGUCACGUAAAACAUUCAAAGAUUCUCAGUUUAGCCAUCAUCUAGCCAGUUCUUCCCACUGAUCACAUUUUCCCAAUUUAUAGAUAGGAAUACUGAGCCUCAAGAGGUUAAGUAAAUCGCCUGAAGAUUAUACAGCUAGUAAAUGAUGAAAUCAGGGCUCUUGACUCAAAGUCCCAGUGUCAUCCAACUACACUUGAGUGGGCUUGAAACGAAUCCUAAGAGUUUUGUAAAUGGUAUAUCAUUAUCUAACAUAAGGUACUAUGAACCACUGCCAUCAUCAUCCUCAUUUCUCUCUGAGGAUCUUUGCAGUAAAGUGAAGGUAGUAGUAGAUCUGUCAUACUGAAUGUUGAAGUCAGAAUAAUGGCUCCCCAAAGAUGCCCAAACCCUAACCCCAAACCCUGUGAUUAUAUAACCUUACAUAGCAAAAUGGACUUUGCAGAUGUGAUUAAGUUUAGGAUUCUGAGAUAGAGAGAUGACCCUGGAUUAUUCCAGGGUCCCAGUGUAGUCACAAGUGUCCUUAUGAGAGGAAAGCAGGAGCACCAGAGUCAAAAGAGAUACAAGGCUAGAGGGUGAGAGGGAGCCCUGAAGAUGCCACUCUGCUGCUUUGAAGAUAGAAGGGGCUACAAGCCAAGGAACACAGGCAGCCUCUAAAAGCUGGAAAAGUUGCUGGGCGUGGUGGCUCAUGCCUGUAAUCCCAGCACUUUGGGAGGCCAAGGCGGGUGGAUCACG
rnacentral:lncRNA from 10 species